CCGCCAAAAUCAGAAUCACUGAAAGCUACCAAUUCAAAGUUAUUAUCCCUAGGGUACCACAGACCGGUGUCGGGGUACGUCUUCAAAUAACGAAAAAUCCUUUUGACAGCAGCAAGAUGUGAGGCCUUCGGGUUAACUUGAUAUCUGGCAAGCAGGCACGUCGGGUACAUUAUGUCUGGCCUUGAUGCUGUGAGGCAUGUUGGGUACAUUAUAUCUGGCCUUGAUGCUGUGAGGUACAUAAGGGAUCCGAUCAUCGCGCGAUAGUAUGAAGGGCUAACAGGUUCACCCUUCAAGUCAGGAGUAAUUCCAUGAUUAGUUGGCAAUGGGGUACCAAUGGGCGUUGCAUCGGACAUCUGGAACCGGCUCAAGAUGUCUCCAACAUAUUUAGUCUGAUGGAUGAAUAUCCCAGACUCCGUUUGUUGCACUUGUAGGCCCAAAAAGAAAUUCAUUUCCCCCAUAGCACUCAUCUCGAACUUAUCCUGCAUGAUGCGCUCGAAAUUC
rnacentral:lncRNA from 1 species